rnacentral:rRNA from 1 species
GACGAACCGUGCAAACGUUGUUCGGAAUCACUGGGCUUAAAGGGCGCGUAGGCGGGUGGCCAAGUCAGGGGUGAAAUCCGGCAGCUCAACUGUCGAAUAGCUUUUGAUACUGGCCGUCUUGAGGGGGGUAGGGGCAUGUGGAACUUCCGGUGGAGCGGUGAAAUGCGUAGAUAUCGGAAGGAACGCCGGUGGCGAAAGCGACGUGCUGGACCCUUUCUGACGCUGAGGCGCGAAAGCCAGGGGAGCAAACGGG